AGUUUAUAGCUCUGUCAGUUUAACACUUCAUGACUGAGAACUGAUCUACAUGAUCACACAUCAAAAAGCCAUCAUGACUUUAAUCACCAUCUUCAUCUGGAUGAUCAUCACCUGCAGCUCUGGCUCUUUGGGGCAGGUUGUGAUAACCCAGACUGCAGCUAAAUCAGCUCAGCCUGGUCAUUCAGUCACUAUUGACUGCAAAUCCAAUACUGUAGUUUAUAGGAAUGAAGAGUUGACCGCUACCAAGGGCAAUUAUUUUACAUCCUGGUACUUUCAGAAACCUGGAGAAGAGCCAAAGCUUCUGAUAUACUUUUCAGAUGAGAGAUUUUCUGGAGUUUCCUCUAAAUUCAGUGGUGGUGGAGGUCAUCCUUCAUCUGGAGGGAAUGGUCUGGACUUCACUCUGACCAUCAGUGGAGUGCAGGAUGAAGACGCUGGAGAUUAUUACUGUAUGACAGCACAUGAGAUCAGUGGUAGCGGGGUGAUCACACGGUGAAAAAGCAUUGUACAAAAACCUCCCUCAGUCACUCUGAACUGCUGCAGCUGGAACUGAUAAGUCUCAGCAUGUUUAAACACACGCUUACUUAUUCUGUAGUUUAUAACAGGGCUGUAAAAUGUUAACAAUAAUUAUGAUUAAUUGCAUUCUUCUCUGUAGUUAAUCAUGAUUAAUUGUAUUUUUCUCAGAUGUAACACUUUCAAAGAGUUUUUUUAUUUCUGUUUAAUAAGUAAAUGUAUUUUGUUACAGCCGUUUGAAUGGAAAAAAUCAGCUUCAUCAGGCUGUAUAUAGUUCUUUAAAUAACUAAAUAACACUUUUUUCAUUGUGUGAAUACAGAGUUCACAUGAACUGAACACUAAAGUCACAUAAACAAAGGAUGAACCUAAUAAAUGUUAAUCCGAUAUUCAUGACUGACAUCCAGUGACAUCCAUCACUUUUAUAAAGUUACAAAAACAUUUUGGUUGGACAAUUUUUUUCAUCAAUAACCAUAAUUAAAUAUUUUUUGUUUUAGAGAACUCUAGAAUAUGUUGGCUAAUGUGUUGUUGAUAGACUUCUUUGUAACAAUGCCAAUGAUGUCAGACUACACACUGUAUAAGAUAAUAAAAGUACAAAGGACUCUCAACUA